GAUGAAGAACGGCAGCGAAAUGCGAUAAGUAAUGUGAAUUGCAGAAUUCCGUGAAUCAUCGAAUCUUUGAACGCAUAUUGCGCCCUCCGGUAUUCCGGGGGGCAUGCCUGUCCGAGCGUCAUUGCUGCCCUCAAGCCCGGCUUGUGUGUUGGGUCUCGUCCCCCUUCCCGGGGGGACGGGCCCGAAAGGCAGCGGCGGCACCGCGUCCGGUCCUCGAGCGUAUGGGGCUUUGUCACCCGCUCUGUAGGCCCGGCCGGCGCUUGCCGAUCAACCAAAACUUUUUUCCAGGUUGACCUCGGAUCAGGUAGGGAUACCCGCUGAACUUAAGCAUAUCAAUAAGCGGAGGA
rnacentral:misc_RNA from 1 species